rnacentral:rRNA from 1 species
CAGUAGCGCGGGAAUACGAAGGGUGCAAGCGUUACUCGGAAUUACUGGGCGUAAAGCGUGCGUAGGUGGUCUGUUAAGUUGGAUGUGAAAUCCCCGGGCUCAACCUGGGAACUGCAUUCAAAACUGACUGACUAGAGUAUGGUAGAGGGUGGUGGAAUUUCCUGUGUAGCGGUGAAAUGCGUAGAUAUAGGAAGGAACACCAGUGGCGAAGGCGACCACCUGGACUAAUACUGACACUGAGGUGCGAAAGCGUGGGGAGCAAACAGGAUUAGAUACCCCUGUAGUCCCUGUCUCUUAUACA